UACGUAGGUGGCAAGCGUUGCCCGGAUUUAUUGGGUUUAAAGGGUGCGUAGGCGGCCCUGUAAGUCAGUGCUGAAAUAUCCCAGCUUAACUGGGAGGGUGGCAUUGAUACUGCGGGGCUAGAGUACAGAUGAGGUAGGCGGAAUUGACGGUGUGAGCGGUGAAAUGCUUAGAUAUCGUCAAGAACACCUAUAGCGAAGGCAGCUUACUAGGCUGUAACUGACGCUGAGGCACGAAAGUGUGGGGAUCAAACAGGA
rnacentral:rRNA from 1 species